UAUUUAUUAGUUUAAAAAAAACAUUAUAUUUUCAAUAUAAAAAUAAUAAAAAU
rnacentral:tRNA from 1 species